rnacentral:rRNA from 1 species
UACAGAGGUCUCAAGCGUUGUUCGGAUUCAUUGGGCGUAAAGGGUGCGUAGGUGGCGGGGCAAGUUGGAUGUGAAAUCCCGGAGCUUAACUCCGGAACUGCAUUCAAUACUGCCUUGCUAGAGUACUGGAGAGGAGAUUGGAAUUUACGGUGUAGCAGUGAAAUGCGUAGAUAUCGUAAGGAAGACCAGUGGCGAAGGCGGAUCUCUGGACAGUUACUGACACUGAGGCACGAAGCCAGGGGAGCGAAACGGG